ACCAUUGAUCAUGCGACUGCAGUCUUAUCUUACACUGAGCGUCGUCCUGUCCUGCACUUGCCCUCUAAUGCCCGCUUCUUUGGUUCAUCUGCACACUAAUAAUUGCUCUUCAAUUUUCGCUCACCCCCCUAUGUUAAUCCAAACACAAAUAAACCCUACUCUCAAAAUCCCAUCUUUUUCUCGUAAACCCAUCCAAACCCAUACUUUAAAGGAUAUUUGCCUUCGAGGAAACCUCAAGGAAGCAUUUCAAUCGCUACCAGUUUCAUCCAAUGAUCACCCGGACGAGACUUAUGCCCCGGUUCUUGAACUUUGUGCUCAAAAGAAAGCUCUUUCUCAGGGGCUACAAAUUCACGCCCACAUGAUAAAGUCUUGUUCCGUCUCCGAAUCCGUGUUUUUAGCUACUAAGGUUGUGUUUAUGUAUGGAAAAUGCGGGUCAGUUCGGAAUGCGGAGAAAGUGUUUGAUCAAAUAGGUCAACGAAGUAUUUUUACUUGGAAUGCUAUGAUUGGAGCUUAUGUUUCAAAUGGGAAACCUUUUGAAGUUCUUCAAACCUAUAAAGAAAUGCGGGUUUUGGGAGUUCCUCUUGAUGCUUAUAGUUUUCCUUCUCUGCUUAAAGCUAGUGGUUUGCUAAAAAAUCUCUAUUUAGGGGCUGAAAUUCAUGGUCUGGCUGUCAAGUUUGGGUAUGAUUCUACUGUUUGUGUUGUCAAUUCUUUAGUUGCUAUGUAUGCCAAAUGUGAUGAUCUUUUUGGAGCAAGGAGAUUAUUCGGGAGAAUAGAUCAAAAAGACGAUGUAGUUUCAUGGAAUUCUAUAAUUUCAGCAUAUUCUUCAAAUGGAAGAUCUAUGGAAGCAUUGGAACUUUUCAGGGAAAUGCAAAAGGCUGGUCUUGACUCUAAUACUUACACUGCUGUUGCUUGUCUUCAGGCUUGUGGAGAUUAUUCCUUUAGGAAAUUAGGUAAGGAGAUACAUGCUGCUGUGUUGAAAUCAGCUCAGCUUCUUGAUGCUUAUGUUGCUGGUGCUUUGGUUGCUAUGUAUGUCAGAUGUUGUAAGAUGAGUGAGGCUGUAAGAACUUUUAACAAAUUGGAAGAAAAGGAUAAAGUAGCCUGGAAUUCUGUGCUUACUGGGUUUAUCCAAAAUGGUAUGUGCAGUGAGGCUUUGCAUUUCUUCCAUGAUUUUCAGAAUGCUGGUGAAAAACCUGACCAGGUUACAGUAAUAAGCAUCUUGGUAGCUUGUGGGCGAAUGGGUUACCUAUUGAAUGGUAUGGAAUUGCAUGCUUAUGCAAUAAAAAUUGGAUUUGAUUUAGACUUGCAGGUUGGAAAUACUCUUAUAGAUAUGUAUGCAAAGUGUUCUUGUGUGAACUACAUGGGCUAUGCUUUUAAUAGGAUGCCCGAUAAAGAUUUAAUUUCUUGGACUACUGUCAUUGCUGGCUAUGCACAAAACAGUUAUGCUUUAAAGGCUUUUGAAUUGUUCCGAGAAGUACAAUUAAUAGAUAUUGAUGUUGAUCCCAUGAUGAUAGGUAGUAUACUGCUGGCUUGUAGUGAACUGGCGUGUGUGUCCCAAGUGAAAGAAAUUCAUGGUUAUAUUAUGAGAAGAGGCCUGUCUGAUGUUGUGCUGCAAAACAUGAUUGUUGAUGUAUAUGGAGAAUGUGGAAACAUAGACUAUGCUGUGCAAACAUUUGAGUCAAUCCAGUUUAAAGAUGUUGUGUCUUGGACAAGCAUGAUUUCUGCAUAUGUCCACAAUGGGCUUGCUAAUGAAGCUCUUGAACUGUUCCAUAUCCUAAACAAAACUAAUAUUCACCCUGAUUCUAUUGCAUUAAAAAGUGCACUCUCUGCUGCUUCCAGUUUGUCUGCCUUGAAGUAUGGGAAAGAAAUCCAUGGCUUUAUUAUUAGGCAUAACUUCUCCGAAGGAUCAAUUGCCAGCUCUCUUGUGGAUAUGUAUUCUCGAUGUGGAAUGGUUGAGAAUGCACACACAAUAUUUAAGUCUAUUCAAAGUAAAGAUUUAGUCCUAUGGACAAGCAUGAUAAAUGCAUAUGGAAUGCAUGGCCAUGGAAAAGUUGCCAUUGAUUUAUUCAAUAAGAUGAAGGAAAAUCUCACUCCAGAUCAUGUAGCGUUUUUGUCAGUUCUAUAUGCUUGCAGCCAUUCAGGACUGACUGCUGAAGGUAGACAAUUUUUUGAGAUCAUGAAAUAUGAAUAUCAAUUGGAACCAUGGCCAGAGCACUAUGCUUGUCUGGUUGAUCUCCUUGGUCGGGCAAAUUGCUUAGAAGAGGCAUUUGAAUUUGUGAAAAGCAUGCAGAUGGCACCUACUGCUGAAAUUUGGUGUGCACUCCUUCAGGCUUGCCAAGUACACUCAAAUCAAGAACUAGGAGAAAUUGCAGUGCAGAAACUUUUGGAGUUAGGGUCCACAAAUCCCGGACAUUAUGUGCUUGUUUCUAAUGUCUUUUCAGCUAAAGGAAGAUGUAAAGAUGCUGAAAAAAUUAGAAGUAGAAUGAAGGAGCGAGGCCUGAAGAAAAGUCCUGGAUGUAGUUGGAUUGAGGUGGGGAACGGGAUUCAUACUUUCAUGGCAAGAGACAAGUGUCAUCCAGAGUGUCAUCAUAUAACCAAGAAAUUGGAUCAAAUCACAGAAAAACUGGAGAAGGAAGGAGGUUAUAUAGCUCAAACAAAGUUUGUUUUGCACAAUGUGGAGGAAAAUGAGAAAGUUAAGAUGCUAUAUGGGCACAGUGAAAGAUUAGCCAUUGCAUAUGGUCUGCUCAAGACUGCUGAGCAAACCCCCAUUCGGGUUACAAAGAAUCUACGUGUCUGUGGUGAUUGCCAUACUUUCUGUAAGUUAGUCUCUAAACUCUUUGGACGGGAACUACUUGUGAGGGAUGCCAAUAGAUUUCACCAUUUUGAGGAUGGGGUUUGUUCUUGUGGGGAUUUCUGGUGAAUGUUACAUCCAAUUAUUUGAAUUGGACUUUUCGACAUUCUUCUUGCUGAAGGUGGCUGCUUGUGCUAAAUAGAAAGUGAUGAUGGAUUAUGAAAGUGAACAUGUUAAUGGAGAGGGAGGAAAUGGACCAAAAGGCUCCAACGGGAAAAAAGUGCCUUGCGAUGAAAAUCCUCUCCACCAUGCCACAACUUGUACUCGAAAUGGAUAACCGUGCACAAGUUGGACAUGUCUUGUGUUUUGGUCUUAAAGAGUAGUUAUGAAUCUCGCCUUCUUCAACUUUAACUUUCAAAACGUUUUUAUGAACAAAAUAGCAACGUCCAAUGAAUCAAAGUGAACAAUUCAUUGCAGGUUAGAAUUAUACGUGGAUGUUAUAGGUACAUGAAAAAAAAUUGAAAAGAACUUGAGAAAUGAGCAACCUUUUAUAACAAGUUUCCAGUUUCAUGUCU